rnacentral:rRNA from 1 species
GAAAUUACGCCUUCCAUGAAGCUGGAAUUGCUAGUAAUGGCAGGUCAGCAUACUGCCGUGAAUACGUUCCCGGGCCUUGUACACACCGCCCGUCACACCAUGAGAGUUGGAAAUACCCGAAGCCUGUGAGCUAACUUUUUAGAGGCAGCAGUCGAAGGUAGAGCCAAUGAUUGGGGUGAAGUCGUAACAAGGUAGC